rnacentral:rRNA from 1 species
GCGAACGGGUGAGUAAUACAUCGGAACGUGUCCGUUUGUGGGGGACAACCACCCGAAAGGGUGGCUAAUACCGCAUAAGACCUGAGGGUGAAAGCCGGGGACCGCAAGGCCUGGCGCGAACGGAGCGGCCGAUGACUGAUUAGCUGGUUGGCGGGGUAAAGGCCCACCAAGGCGACGAUCAGUAGCUGGUCUGAGAGGACGACCAGCCACACUGGAACUGAGACACGGUCCAGACUCCUACGGGAGGCAGCAGUGGGGAAUUUUGGACAAUGGGGGCAACCCUGAUCCAGCCAUGCCGCGUGCGGGAAGAAGGCCUUCGGGUUGUAAACCGCUUUUGUCAGGGACGAAAAGGUGCGGGUUAAGAGCUAGCACUGAUGACGGUACCUGAAGAAUAAGCACCGGCUAACUACGUGCCAGCAGCCGCGGUAAUACGUAGGGUGCGAGCGUUAAUCGGAAUUACUGGGCGUAAAGCGUGCGCAGGCGGUUGGGUAAGACAGAUGUGAAAUCCCCGGGCUUAACCUGGGAACUGCAUUUGUGACUGUCCGACUGGAGUAUGUCAGAGGGGGGUGGAAUUCCAAGUGUAGCAGUGAAAUGCGUAGAUAUUUGGAAGAACACCGAUGGCGAAGGC